rnacentral:pre_miRNA from 1 species
UUAACUCAAAUUUGGAGUUGGAAUGUUUACCUACGUUUUCUGUUCGAUUUGCUGUUCCAACUGCAUACAAAUUUGAGUUA